rnacentral:rRNA from 1 species
UACGUAGGUGGCAAGCGUUGUCCGGAUUUACUGGGCGUAAAGAGCGCGCAGGCGGUCGAAUAAGUCGAAUGUGAAAGCCCCCGGCUCAACUGGGGAGGGUCAUUCGAUACUGUUCGACUUGAAGGCAGGAGAGGGAAGCAGAAUUCCCGGUGUAGUGGUGAAAUGCGUAGAUAUCGGGAGGAACACCAGUGGCGAAGGCGGUUGCCUGGAGCUUUGCUGACGCUGAUGCGCGAAAGCGUGGGGAGCGAUCCGG